rnacentral:lncRNA from 1 species
CCUUCCUUCUUUUCUUUUUGGGUUUCGCCUUCUCUUGCUGGAGCCCUUGCGUUCGCGCGCGCGUGCGUACCCCUCCAGCAGGCAACAAGGCACCGGCCGCACCAGCUUUCUAACCGUCAAAAGCCUCUCUUCGUCUGUCAUUAGUUUUUUCUUUCUUUCUUUUACUUUUUUUUUCGUAUAGGAGAACAGUUUUUCGGUUUCCUUUCUUUCGGGGCAAUACAUAAAGACACUGCUGGGCUGUAGAGCAUUACCGCAUUAUAUUUACUAUAGGCAGCCCCAUAUAGUAAACUGCUGGUAUUAUAGCCUGCACCAAAGAAAACCAUAUAAAUCCUCAUCACUCUAUUUAAUAAGUCUACUUUUUUUUCUUUUUCUUCUCAGGGAAUUGCAGUCAGUCUUUUGAAAGCCAAAUCCAACCGUGAGUGUCGCUGAUUUUGAUUAAAGACCGAAAAUGAGAAAGAAAGAAAAAAGAAACUUAUCAGAAAGCUGAAGCAAAUGCAAUCGAGACGCCAUUCAAAAAAUAACAAGUUUUCUAAAAAUGAAAGAAAGAAAACAACAAAAAAGGAAUAAAAUACCGUUCCAAGCUGCUGGUGAGCUUCUCCCUCCGUAUCCUCACCACCAGCACCAACUUUUGCUUUCAACCCGACCACUGCCCCGGGUAGAUUACACGUACCAUAUCGAUGCCAUACCACGUUCCUUCUCUCCUUUCUUCUUCAUUAACAUUUUUUUCUUGUUUGAGGAAAUGAUCAACAAGGCACACAUGGAAGCACCCCCUGGGCGAUCAUAUCGGUGACUCUGUUGCAAGAAAAAAAAAAAAUUUUCGAAAAUAAAAGAUGCAGCCGGAAAAAAAGAAAAGGAGGCGAAAUAAGAGGGAGAAAAGAUGGAGAGGUUGUCAUCUGGAGGUGGAGUGAGAGUGUGUCUUGUAAUUGUAAACGCAAAAGUUGCCUUAUCCUUUCCGCGAGAGGAGAAAACAGUUGGGAGGAAGAAUUUCUUUUUAUGAUCACAAAAAUAUAACGUGCGCCCAUCUACUACCUGUACACCUUUCUCUCUCUCUCUCUCUCUCUCUCCCGAAUGCGUGAUCUCACUUGUGCCUGGAAACCCCGACAGGUUUUUAGUUUACAUUUUUCUUCUUCUUCUUCUUCUCUCUCGCUCAGUCGCUCGCUAGCUGAAUGUGUGUAUUCCGAGGCGGCAUGCCGCCUCGAAUAUACUACUACACAUAUUAGAAAGCAUCGAAAACUGUUGCGCUGGCUGCUGUGCUCUGUCUAGGGGGCACUAGAUCAAGCCAAAGAAGUCGAAGGAUCACGCGAUUUUUGUUCUACCGGCGCCAGUCACCAGCCACCUAUAAUAACCUCCAAAAUGCUAUACGCAAGAAAGGAAACAGGCACAGUUUUUUUCUUUCUUUUUCGGAAAGAUGAAAAAAGAGAAAUACAACAAUAAUAAAACGAAAUGAGGAAAGAAGAGGUAGGGUCUUAUCAAUUAUACCGCCCAAUUAUGGAUGUCUCUUUUUCCCUGUCGAAAAUCAUUCUUCUUCUUUCUCUUUCACGCAUGUCUUACGAGGAGAAACUUGGAAGCGAUCGGGCGGCAAGCAAACAGUACAAAAAAAAGGUUAAGAGUUACGACAUGGAAGAAGUGGAUAGUCGCGUGUACCCUCACUCGGGAAGAAGAAAUCGUGAGUAAACGUAACCUGGGUCUCUUCCCGUUGUUUAGGAGGCGGAUUAAGUCACGUCAGAAAAAGAAACGGGGACAUGGAGACUAAAUCAUCUCAACACGAAUGACCUUCUUUUAUUCAUCCACCAAGGCCGAAAUCGUGCAGGUCUUCUUCUUUUACACCUGUCGAGUUCUUUGUCAAGAUCUGGAUUGACCUUCACUUUUGUAUUGGCAACAAUAGGACGACAACAUAUAGCUUCCUGCUUCCCACAUCCUUAGACUUAUAGUCGCCUAACCCUUUCCGUUUUGUAUCCGAUAAAUUCCUUUACGGUG